rnacentral:lncRNA from 1 species
GGGGACACACUUGGGUGGUGAAUAUAUUAGUUUAAAAUGUUUACAACAACUCCAAGCCCAUGGUCAUGGCCCUUCCUGUUUUACACUAGCAAAAUUAGAACUAUCACCUAGCAGAAGGACCACUUCACCACAAGCCUAAAAUAUAGGUUGUUCUUUGCCACCAAUAAAAAAAGAAAAAAGGCAAAAAUCAUGACAGAACUAAU